rnacentral:rRNA from 1 species
AGAUUGGACGCUGGCGGCAUGCCUAACACAUGCAAGUCGAACGGGAGUAGCAAUACUCUAGUGGCGGACGGGUGAGGAAUACGUAGGAAUUUGCCCUUAAGUGGGGGAUAACCCGGGGAAACCCGGAUUAAUACCGCAUGACCUCGAAAGAGCAAAGUGGGGGAUCGCAAGACCUCACGCUUUUGGAGAAGCCUACGUCGGAUUAGCUAGUUGGUGAGGUAAUGGCUCACCAAGGCGACGAUCCGUAACUGGUCUGAGAGGAUGAUCAGUCACACCGGAACUGAGACACGGUCCGGACUCCUACGGGAGGCAGCAGUGGGGAAUAUUGGGAACGAG